rnacentral:rRNA from 1 species
GAUGAACGCUGGCGGCGUGCCUAAUACAUGCAAGUCGAGCGAACAGACGAGGAGCUUGCUCCUUUGACGUUAGCGGCGGACGGGUGAGUAACACGUGGAUAACCUACCUAUAAGACUGGGAUAACUUCGGGAAACCGGAGCUAAUACCGGAUAACAUGUUGAACCGCAUGGUUCAACAGUGAAAGACGGUCUUGCUGUCACUUAUAGAUGGAUCCGCGCCGCAUUAGCUAGUUGGUAAGGUAACGGCUUACCAAGGCAACGAUGCGUAGCCGACCUGAGAGGGUGAUCGGCCACACUGGAACUGAGACACGGUCCAGACUCCUACGGGAGGCAGCAGUAGGGAAUCUUCCGCAAUGGGCGAAAGCCUGACGGAGCAACGCCGCGUGAGUGAAGAAGGUCUUCGGACCGUAAAACUCUGUUAUUAGGGAAGAACAAAUGUGUAAGUAACUAUGCACGUCUUGACGGUACCUAAUCAGAAAGCCACGGCUAACUACGUG